rnacentral:rRNA from 1 species
UACGAAGGGGGGCUAGCGUUGCUCGGAAUUACUGGGCGUAAAGGGCGCGUAGGCGGACAGUUUAGUCAGAGGUGAAAGCCCAGGGCUCAACCUUGGAAUUGCCUUUGAUACUGGCUGUCUUGAGUACGGGAGAGGUGAGUGGAACUCCGAGUGUAGAGGUGAAAUUCGUAGAUAUUCGGAAGAACACCAGUGGCGAAGGCGACUCACUGGCCCGUUACUGACGCUGAGGCGCGAAAGCGUGGGGAGCAAACGGG